rnacentral:rRNA from 1 species
GACGAACGCUGGCGGCGUGCUUAACACAUGCAAGUCGAACGCUGAAGCUUGGUGCUUGCACUGGGUGGAUGAGUGGCGAACGGGUGAGUAAUACGUGAGUAACCUGCCCUUGACUCUGGGAUAAGCCUGGGAAACUGGGUCCAAUACUGGAUACGACAUGUCACCGCAUGGUGGUGUGUGGAAAGGGUUUUACUGGUUUUGGAUGGGCUCACGGCCUAUCAGCUUGUUGGUGGGGUAAUGGCUCACCAAGGCGACGACGGGUAGCCGGCCUGAGAGGGUGACCGGCUACACUGGGACUGAGACACGGCCCAGACUCCUACGGGAGGCAGCAGUGGGGAAUAUUGCACAAUGGGCGGAAGCCUGAUGCAGCGACGCCGCGUGAGGGAUGACGGCCUUCGGGUUGUAAACCUCUUUCAGCACGGAAGAAGCGAAAGUGACGGUACGUGCAGAAGAAGCGCCGGCUAACUACGUG